GCACGCUAAAGUUAGAGAUGUAUAUGAUAUGGGUGAUGCUCAAUCCAAUGACAUAGAUAAAAGUAAUGAACAAGUAUUGGAAGAGAUAAAUGAUGAUGAUUUGAUUAGACCAGAAACUGAUGAUAGUGAUGAUAUCAUUGAAGUUAUAAUUAAUAUAGAGGACAUUACCCAAAAUGAUGAUGAGAAUGAAGAUACAGAGGAUGAGAGUGAAGAAGACCUCUCAUAUUAAUUUGUAAAUUAAAAUGGGAGAAACCAUCUUUGAUAUUGGGAGGAAAGGAACUCCGAUAAAGGUGACUUCUUCUUUUUUUAAUCAUCAUUUUGUUUGGAGCAACUGUUAUUUGUUCAUAAGAGAUGAGCUUUCCUUCUUGGUUUUAGUCAGUCUCAUAGAGAGUUUAUUAACGCAUUGAUAGCUUCUCAGAGCAAGGAUCUAAAGCUGGUUGCUGGAGAUGCCACUCAUAAUGCUUAAAAUGAACAACAUUCUGAAUUUUACAAUCAACCAUGGUUUUUGUACGAGCUGUUCAUGAAGCCAAGUGGAUGAAUGAGAUGGAGAUCAGUAUUUAUGAUUCUUGGUUUGAUCCUGUUGUGUCUACCUUACCUGGUCUCAUUCCUGACGGUUUUAUCUAUCUCAGAGCAAGUCCUGAUACUUGCCAUCAAAGAAUGAAGUCAAGGAAAAGAGAAGAAGAAGGUGGAGUCAGUUUAGAGUAUCUGCGUGACCUUCACGAAAAUGAAUUUUUUGAAGUUGUAUUGUAAAAUGAAGGUGGAGUCAGUUUAGGGAUAUAAUAUUUUUGAAG